rnacentral:lncRNA from 10 species
CCGCCUGCCCUGGCCUCCCAAAGUGCUGGGAUUACAGAUGUGAGCCACCACGCCCAGCCAUGCUCGAUGAUUCUUGACGGGCCCUGGAUCCAGCUGACAGCCACCCGGGAGCCGCACCACGGGGAAUGCUGCGUAGGUUCUCAAGUGCACAUCUCACAGCUUCGCUGACAGGACAGCAAAGGACCAGAGAGAGGAAGUAACUCACCCAAGGCCCUUCAGGUGACUGGUGCACAGCCUGGGCAGAAGCCAAGUUUCCUGAUUCUGAGGCCAUUCAGGGUUGACCUCGCCCCCAAAUCAUCAGGUAUGG